rnacentral:rRNA from 1 species
UGGGGAAUUUUGUACAAUGGGCGCAAGCCUGAUCCAGCCAUGCCGCGUGUCUGAAGAAGGCCUUCGGGUUGUAAAGGACUUUUGUCAGGGAAGAAAAGGGCGGGGUUAAUACCCCUGUCUGAUGACGGUACCUGAAGAAUAAGCACCGGCUAACUACGUGCCAGCAGCCGCGGUAAUACGUAGGGUGCGAGCGUUAAUCGGAAUUACUGGGCGUAAAGCGGGCGCAGACGGUUACUUAAGCAGGAUGUGAAAUCCCCGGGCUCAACCUGGGAACUGCGUUCUGAACUGGGUGACUAGAGUGUGUCAGAGGGAGGUAGAAUUCCACGUGUAGCAGUGAAAUGCGUAGAGAUGUGGAGGAAUACCGAUGGCGAAGGCAGCCUCCUGGGAUAACACUGACGUUCAUGCCCGAAAGCGUGGGUAGCAAACAGGAUUAGAUACCCUGGUAGUCCACGCCCUAAACGAUGUCGAUUAGCUGUUUGGGCAGCAUGACUGCUUAGUAGCGAAGCUAACGCGUGAAAUCGACCGCCUGGGGAGUACGGUCGCAAGAUUA